rnacentral:rRNA from 1 species
AUGCAAGUCGAACGGCAGCGCGAACUUCGGUUUGGCGGCGAGUGGCGAACGGGUGAGUAAUAUAUCGGAACGUACCCAGUAGCGGGGGAUAACUACUCGAAAGAGUAGCUAAUACCGCAUACGCCCUACGGGGAAAGGGGGGGAUCGCAAGACCUCUCACUAUUGGAGCGGCCGAUAUCGGGUAGUCAUUGGUGGGUGGAAGGCUCACCAAGGCGACGAUCCGUAGCUGGUUUGAGAGGACGACCAGCCACACUGGGACUGAGACACGGCCCAGACUCC